rnacentral:rRNA from 1 species
GAUUUAUUUAGUAAUGUUAUGUUAACGUGGUAAAGUUAUAUAUUUAUUACUGAAUGGUAAUGAAAUGUUUAUCGUUUCCUAGCAUAGCUAGUUUAUUGGUGAAGAAUAUUUAAGUAUUAUAGUAUUUUAAAUAAUUUUAUGUUUAAAUACUAGUUUAUUAUAUGGGGGAUAAGCUUCAUAUAGGUUUGUAGAAUUUUUAUGUGUAGUUUAGUGUAUAAUUUAAGUAGGGUUAAAAGUUUUGUUUUUCUUAAUGAUUUAAUUUUGUUAUAUUUUAAAAUAUAUUUCAGGUAGUAAUUAUGUAGCUAAUAAAUAAUUAUAAAUAAUUUUAAUUAACUAUAAUGUUGAUAUGAGUAUUGGUUGAAUAACGUUCCAGUUUAUUAAGAAUUAUAAUGUGUAAACGAUUAAUAUAUGGAGUAAAAUGUUAAUUAAGUAAAGCUAAGGAAUUCGGCAAAUAUUAAUCUCGCCUGUUUAUCAAAAACAUCUCUCUUUGUAUAAUAUAAAUAAAGAG